CUUUUUGAAAUGAGAUGAGCUUUAAAUGAGUAUUGGUCACAAUUAAAUAUGUGCUUUUCUCGUCAAUACGUUGGCCUGGAUGACAGAAUUCCACCAAGCCUUUAAAGGAGAUGGAAGGGUAAAGCUGAGUCAAAUCAUCUUCCUUGUAUACUUCUGCGAAACUACCUACCACCGUUAAUUGGUAUUCCAAAGUUAUCGUAAACCACACAUAGCUUACCAUGAUGAAUAAAAACUGCGCCAAGAAAAGGCAUUGCAAGAAUUCGGUUUACACGAGAUUUCGACACCAACGAAAUCUUCUUUACAAGCUCUGGUGAUUCAUUUAACUAAUACGCGUGUUAAUGCAAACAACCCUGUGCAACACACGAAUAAACACAAACCUGGAAAUUUGAAAAAUUAUAGAGGAAUACAUCACCACCUUCCGUUCCAAAGUAUAGAUGGUUAUCUAAAAAAAUCAAAUAGUUAGCAAUAUAGCCCCGGAUGCUUGCCUUACUAUAGAGCGCAAUGGUAGUUACAGGGGAAUCCAAUUCUUUAGGAAUUGCUGACUCAUGCAGCUCAAUAUCAGACAUUUGUAAAUUUUGAAUUAA